GGGUCGGUACCGAAGUGGACAAACGGGGCGGUCUGUAAAAUCGCUGGCAACGCCUUCGCUGGUUCGAAUCCAGCCCGGCCCACCA
rnacentral:tRNA from 1 species